rnacentral:lncRNA from 1 species
GGCCAAUGUCAGACUGCUGCCAAGCAACCCCCAAAGCUAUCCACAGUCGAGCUGUAAAAGAUGUUAGAUUAGUCCAGCAAGAUGGCUCCUCUGGGAAAGGAACUUGCUCCACAGGCGUCGAGACCUGAUUUCCAUCCUCAGAAUCCAGGUAAAGGCAGAAGAGGACCAACUUCACAAGCCUGCCUUGACUGUGGCACAAACCACAUACAUACAUCACACUCAUGCAGUAAUGGGAACCAAGACUUUUUAAGAUGUCUGAGCCGUGAGAAGCCAGAAAGCCUGAUGUGGUCCACCCCUUUCCCUGGAAUCACUCCUUUCCAUGUGGGCUGAAUGCCCACGUGCAGCUGUCUGAUCUCAGGAUUUCUAUCAUCCAGAGUUUCAAAAUGAAAGCCAGGGACGGGGAGGCUACCAUUCAAGCCAUAACGGAAACCACUGUUGUGUGUGCUCAGUUCAAAUCGUUUCCGCAGAUUCUCUGGAAGCUCCAGCGGGGUUGGCCCAGCUCCUGGCUUCCUCUCCUGGCAACAGCCUCAGGUCUUUUUGAUGAAUUGAAUGAGAAGUGGAGCCCUCAGGUCCAGUCCUGAUCCUGCAGUGCUCAUGAAGCUUACACAGAACUCAUGUGACCACGAAGCCAAGGUGGCCGAGAGAAGGCAGCUUCCUGGAAUCUCAGCCUUCCACCAGGCCAGGAGCCAGUCUGCUGCUUCUGUCUGCCUGUACCAAGCAUCUCCCUCAGAGGGAGGAGCCAUGGCCCCAGAAGAUGCUAAGCACUAAAGGAGGCCAUAUGCUUCUACCUUACCAGG